rnacentral:rRNA from 1 species
UACGUAGGGGCCUAGCGUUGUCCGGAUUUAUUGGGCGUAAAGAGCUCGUAGGCGGUUCGGCAAGUCGGAUGUGAAAUCUCCACGCUCAACGUGGAGGGGCCAUUCGAAACUGCCGUGACUCGAGUCCGGUAGGGGAGUGUGGAAUUCCCGGUGUAGCGGUGAAAUGCGCAGAUAUCAGGAGGAACACCGGUGGCGAAGGCGGAUCUCUGGGCCAUUACUGACGCUGAGGAGCGAAAGCGUGGGGAGCGAACAGG